UGGAAAUCUGGUGUCCUGGACUGUAGGGGGAAGGUACCACAGGUGGACCGACUCCUUGGUAGAAAGAUCUUCUCAACCACAGGACAUCUUCAGGAUUCCAAGGACCUGAGUUCACUAAGAAUGGAGAAGUUGGAUCCUGGUUAGAGGGACCUAAGUACAGGAGCCAUCACUGUCAUUGGAGAAGAUUUCUGCUGCUGCUGCUGGAGGGUUCACACAUCUCAGG